GCCAAAGCACCAUAGCGAUGUGGUAUGUAGUGCCUUUGUAGCGGGCCUUGUUAGGCAGGAUAAAGUGUGCUAGAAAAGUGCUGGAAUGUUGAAGAAUUAGGCAGACUUUCUCUGAAGCUUUCCAGACUAUUAUCAGAUCGUGUGACGGUCCGAACCCCUGCUGGAUUUUCGAUAUAUCUGCUAUUUUCCUCAGCCUCCACUGCAUCUGUUCUCCAAGCCGUAUGAUACAUCCUCGCACUGACAGAAGGAUCUCAAUGUCUUCCUCAUUCUUCAUUCCUUUAAGCUACGGAUAAAACCUAACAAAUAUACAGAUAUCUAUUUUUGGAUUCAUCCUCUUAAAGGGCGCU